UGCCUGAUGCCACGUUACCGGUAGCUUCUUUGCCUUGACCGGUGAUGCUACAUCAGGCACAUAUCAAAUCGUUAUUUCGCAUCCUGAUAGGAACCUGUGGAUCGUAUUUCAACUUUCCAUGGAGCCGUUUUUUUUGCGAUUACAUUU
rnacentral:snoRNA from 1 species